ACUAAAAAUAUACUUUUGAAAAGUAUAUAAAGGAUACUCGAAAUGGUCCAAGCAUAAGUCAAAAAGUGAAACAGAGUGAGCCAAAAAUGAAAUUUUCGUUAUUUUAUACCAUUGCUACCAUAUUCCUAUUCUACGUCGGUGGAAUUGGUGCUGCAGUUCGUUGGAGAGGCGGACAGUGGCGAAACCCAUUGUGGUCUGACAAUCAGCACAUUAGAAAUGUUGCACGACCAUCAUCUUGGUUGAAAAAUUAGUUAUCGCAUUUUAAUAAAAACCAAAAAGAGUUAUUAAUUUACACAUUCAUUAUUAAUGCUCUAAUAAAGCACACAAUAAAAUAAA